GUUUUUAUAGUGUAAAUUUUUAAACAUUUUACUUUUUCAUUGUAAAGCUGAAAUUUAUAAUUUCUAAAAACA
rnacentral:tRNA from 1 species